rnacentral:rRNA from 1 species
CCCUUAGAUGUUCUGGGCAGCACGCGUGCUACACUGAGUGGAUCAGCGGGUCAGGUUGCGCGAAAGCGUUUCCUAAUCUUUAAAUCCGCUCGUGAUGGGGAUUGACGGUUGCAAUUUUCUGUCAUGAACGAGGAAUACCUUGUAAGCGCGGGUCAUCAUCCCGCGCUGAAUACGUCCCUGCCCUUUGUACACACCGCCCGUCGCUCCUACCGAUUGAGUGGUCCGGUGAGGCUUUGGGAUCUGAGCGGAAAGAGCGUUUCGCUGUUUCUGCUCGGAAAACUCAGUCGAACCUUAUCAUUUAGAGGAAGGAGAAGUCGUAACA